rnacentral:rRNA from 1 species
UGGGGAAUAUUGCACAAUGGGCGCAAGCCUGAUGCAGCCAUGCCGCGUGUGUGAAGAAGGCCUUCGGGUUGUAAAGCACUUUCAGCGGGGAGGAAGGCGGUGAGGUUAAUAACCUCACCGAUUGACGUUACCCGCAGAAGAAGCACCGGCUAACUCCGUGCCAGCAGCCGCGGUAAUACGGAGGUUGCAAGCGUUAAUCGGAAUUACUGGGCGUAAAGCGCACGCAGGCGGUCUGUCAAGUCGGAUGUGAAAUCCCCGGGCUCAACCUGGGAACUGCAUUCGAAACUGGCAGGCUAGAGUCUUGUAGAGGGGGGUAGAAUUCCAGGUGUAGCGGUGAAAUGCGUAGAGAUCUGGAGGAAUACCGGUGGCGAAGGCGGCCCCCUGGACAAAGACUGACGCUCAGGUGCGAAAGCGUGGGGAGCAAACAGG